rnacentral:rRNA from 1 species
AGAGUUUGAUCCUGGCUCAGAUUGAACGCUGGCGGCAUGCCUUACACAUGCAAGUCGAGCGGCAGCGCGGGGGCAACCCUGGCGGCGAGCGGCGGACGGGUGAGUAAUACAUCGGAACGUGUCCUUUCGUGGGGGAUAACCAGUCGAAAGACUGGCUAAUACCGCAUGAGAUCUCACGAUGAAAGCGGGGGACCGCAAGGCCUCGCGCGAUUGGAGCGGCCGAUGUCGGAUUAGCUAGUUGGCGGGGUAAAAGCCCACCAAGGCUACAAUCCGUAGCUGGUUUGAGAGAACGACCAGCCACACUGGGACUGAGACACGGCCCAGACUCCUACGGGAGGCAGCAGUGGGGAAUUUUGGACAAUGGGCGCAAGCCUGAUCCAGCCAUGCCGCGUGUGUGAAGAAGGCCUUCGGGUUGUAAAGCACUUUCGGCCGGAACGAAAUCGCGCGAAUUAAUAACUCGCGUGGAUGACGGUACCGGAAGAAGAAGCACCGGCUAACUACGUGCCAGCAGCCGCGGUAAUACGUAGGGUGCGAGCGUUAAUCGGAAUUACUGGGCGUAAAGGGUGCGCAGGCGGUUCUGCAAGUCAGGCGUGAAAGCCCCGGGCUUAACCUGGGAAUGGCGCUUGAAACUACAGGACUGGAGUAUGGCAGAGGGAGGUGGAAUUCCACGUGUAGCGGUGAAAUGCGUANAGAUGUGGAGGAACACCGA